GCAUGGGUGGUUCAGUGGUAGCAUUCUUGCCUUUCACACGGGAGACCAGAGUUCAACUCUCAGCCAGUGUA
rnacentral:tRNA from 1 species